ensembl:lncRNA
AUUUAAAUAUCUAAAUAAAACAGGAAUAGUAAAUAGAAUUUAUUAUUUUUUUUUUUUUCCCAAAGCCAAGUACACGCCACACUCCAGAUCAGUAGGUGGCGGAAAUGCACCAUUUAUGUUGGUCUGCCAAACCGCCAUUAAACACUAGAAGAAGAAGAAGAAGUAGGCAGGUGUUUGGAUAGAGGAAGUAAUGGCUUUCUUGUGCUAUUCCAACCUUCUUUCUGAGGUCCUAUGAUUGAGGAAUUUGUUUCCUUUUGGUCAAUCUAUGGACCUUUAUACCUUGCUUUCUUUCUUAUGAGGAAAGAGUUCAAAAGGUUUGCCUCCACAAACUGCUUGCUUUAUGGUUUGUUGCUGGAUGCAUGAACACUUGGGAUGUUUUACACAAACACAAAAAGCAGGUGGAUACUACAUGUGGAAGACAGGAGGACUCUCUGUUGGAUCAAGUUUGACUUGCUUAUGUCAACAUUGGAUUACCACUAAUUGAACAUUGCUUUCCUAGAGUGGGGAUUUUUGCAUGGACAUCAUAAUUUCAACCAUUAACAAACAUUGGUGGCUUCAUCAUCAGCUAAUUUUUACCAUUCUUAUUUCUGGUUCAUAUCAACCCAAUAUUGAACAUUUCUUGAAUAUUUUAUUUGUUGAUUAUUUUUGAUCAUUUCAUUUCAAAUUAUGUGCAAGUGUAUCUCUGUUUUUUCUUCUUCUUCUUCUUCUUCUUCUUCUUCUCCUCUUGAUGUAUACAAAGCAAUUUAUUUAAAAAAAAAAGAAAUGAAAGUAUUCAGAGGCAACAUUUUCAGGGGUGAUCUAAUGCCAAAGCAAUAAACAAAAAAGUAAGGCUCACACGGUAUCAAAGGUGGCAAACAACACUCGUUUGGAACAGAAAGCACAAUCUGUCACCACAUUUUCACCAGCUAGCACAGUAUCACAACAACAUGUAUGAGCAAUCGAUCAAAGAGGCAGAGAGCGCCCAACAGUUAAAUGCCAGGAAAUUUAUAGUCCAGGUCUCUUCUUCAUUCCAACCACCAGCAGCCUCUCAUCACGUCGUAGAUGUAAAUGUGCACAAAGAAAAGAAAAAUAAUGCCUUUUAUUCAACAAUUUGACGAAGACAUUUAAGAAAUUGUUGCGUUGCUGUCUAUGGAGG